UGACUCAGCAAGGAUGUUUCCAGCACUAAAAACUGAAUUAUCAAGAGGGAGGAAAACACUUGACUUCAUUCCUCCUCAUGAUAUCAGUGAAUACCUGAAGGACACAGAACUAAGGGGGAGAGGUGCCAGUCUGAAAGGAGACUCAGCCUGUGAAAUUUACUGCAGUGUAUGUGCUAGCAACAGUGGAAGAGCUAUGCAAGACCUAGAAGCAGUGUUUUUAGCAUGCUAUCAUCUAAACCUGCCGUGAGAAGUUGUCUACAUGUGGUACAGCAAUGCUGGGUCGAACUUCACAAAAUCCUGAAUGCAGACAUAGCCAAAGUGAAGGAAAGACAAAUGAAGCAUAUAACAGAAUUACAGACAGGAAUUCAAGUGGGAAUUUCUUUUUCUGUGAUUCUGGUGACAUGGAAUGCAGACUGAUCUGAAUAGCCAUUCUUCACCAGACAGCAAAAACGACAGGGAAGGUAAGCUACCCCAGCUAGAUACCCUGCAUUGUGUAAAGUCCCUUUUAUCCCCAGUACUUGAAAUACCCAAACCAACUUGCACAGAUGACUAACAAUAAUCUAGAUAGGGGCACAAACAUGACAUCUGAAGGCAAGUUAGAAACAUCAAUCAAAUCUGAAGUAUGGGGAGAAGAUGUAGACUGAUUUUGCCAAUUAGUUCAAACAAUUUCAACAAAGAAAUUGCCUUUUUCUGUUAUGAAGUAGUGACCACAAAUAAAAUGUGGGAUUGUCACUGGGCACAUCUUUGUAGGCAUUUGUGAUACCAUCACUAAAUGGAUGCAAUUGUGUGAGGCAGAAGAUAACAGAUCAUUGCUUGGAGAAAAUAAAAGAUUUUUGACUUGCUAGGCAUCUGGGUACUAUGCAGCUUGAUUUUCAGGGCUCUGCACAAAUUUUUCUUUUUCUGCUUUAGGGCUCUUUCAGAGGGAACACAGAUUUAAAAAAAAAAAAAAAAAAAAAACCCACAGGAACGCCUUGGAUUAUUUAUGCAGUUGAAAGACAAGGAAGUGAAGCACAAAAUGACACCUAUAAAUAUAGCUACUUAACUUUUUAUGCUAUUCUCACUGCCAUGCUGAGCACUUAAGUUUAAACUUGAAUUCAUGUAUUUUACAAGUAUCUUCUGCAACAAGAUCCGCAUUCACGUUUUAGGCAUCAAAAACCUUUGGAAUCUGCUUAGCUUUAUAUUUUUAUAUAAAGUUAAUUCACCAAGUCCUACAGAUAAAACCAGAAAUAAAUAUAUACAAAUAA